UACGUAGGGGGCAAGCGUUGUCCGGAUUUAUUGGGCGUAAAGAGCGUGUAGGCGGUUUGGUAGGUCCGUUGUGAAAACUCGAGGCUCAACCUCGAGACGGCGAUGGAAACCAUCAGACUAGAGUCCGGAAGAGGAGAGUGGAAUUCCUGGUGUAGCGGUGAAAUGCGCAGAUAUCAGGAAGAACACCCGUGGCUAAGGCGGCUCUCUAGUACGGUACUGACGCUGAGACGCGAAAGCGUGGGGAGCGAACAGG
rnacentral:rRNA from 1 species